UACAGAGGUCUCAAGCGUUGUUCGGAUUCAUUGGGCGUAAAGGGUGCGUAGGUGGCAUGGUAAGUCGGAUGUGAAAUCCCGGGGCUCAACCCCGGAACUGCAUUCGAUACUGCUGCGCUAGAGUACUGGAGAGGAGACUGGAAUUUACGGUGUAGCGGUGAAAUGCGUAGAUAUCGUAAGGAAGACCAGUGGCGAAGGCGGGUCUCUGGACAGUUCCUGACGCUGAGACGCGAAAGCGUGGGGAGCAAACAGG
rnacentral:rRNA from 1 species